rnacentral:misc_RNA from 1 species
AACGCACCUUGCACCCUUUGGUAUUCCAAAGGGUACACCCGUUUGAGUGUCAUUGUAAUCUCACUAUGUUCGACUUUUUGUUGUUUGUAUGUGGACCUGGAUGUUGCUGUUGGUUAUCGACGGCUCGUCUGAAAUGCCUGAGUGUACCCCGCUUUGCAGCGUAUUCGGUGUGAUAUAUUGUCACCGGAGUUGAUCCUUUUGGGUCGCGUCUGUAGGAGUGUGGCUCUAUGCUUUCCAACCGUCCCUUUAUGGGGACAAUCUUCUUGACAAUUUGACCUCAAAUCGGGUGGGACUACCCGCUGAACUUAA